UAUGGCUCUUAAGCUAAUAAGUAAUUAAAAUAAAUGAAAAAUGGUAAUUAAUUUAGGAAUCAGGUCUUAAUUAAGCGUUUCAAGACACGCUUCUUAGUGGACGCGUGUUGAUAGGGCAUUGGAGAUGUAAUUUUGGUCGGUGAAGAAAACUUCAACCCGACGAAGGAUGUGUUCUCUCUUCCCCGAAGUCGACGAUGACCACACUACCAUACGCCGACGUCGAUUGCAACCUCGGAGCUUUAGCCGGCCGCGCCAAGGGUUUCGGCCGCUUCGCCGUCGGUGGUCUCCACGGCGAUCUCUGCGUCGUCACCUCUCUCGUAGGUUUGACCGACAAUCGUUGAACAUAUCUAGUCUAUUGAUUGCGUGAUUGAUUGUUAGAUGAUGGACCUGGAUCUCUCCUCGAAUGAGGUAGGAGGAAAGAGCCGUUAUGGAUUCUCUAAUCCUCUCUGUCUUGGCGUGCUCUCUCUCUCUCUCUGUCUCUCCAUAGUUCCGUAAAACUUCUCACUUUCACAGUUUGUGUCUGUGCAAUAAUGGCCAUGUCUGAGCUUUCAACCCCCAAAACGACGUCGCCUUUCCUCCGCUCUUCGUCUCAGCUUCGCCUCUCCUCCAAGUUGCAUCUUUCAAACCAGUUUCGCCAUCUUCUUCUUCCUCCACCUCUCCACACAACUUCCAUCUCCAAAUCUCUUGCUCUGUUUUCUCAGAAUAGCCAAGCACCUGUCGCGGUUCAAGAAAAUGGGUCGGUGAAGACGAAGAAAGAGUGUUAUGGAGUGUUCUGCCUCACCUAUGACCUCAAAGCUGUAAUCUUUACUUUCUCUCUGUUUCAGUUGUAAAGUUUCAACCUUUAAAACUCUUUGGUUCUUUGAUUUUGAGUUCCCAAACGUGUGUGUUUACAAGAGGAGGAGACUUAAUCAUGGAAGAAGAUGAUCAAUAUCGCAGUCUCAGGUGCUGCAGGCAUGAUUUCAAACCACCUUCUCUUCAAACUUGCUUCAGGUUCAGUGUUAGGACCAAACCAGCCCAUUGCUUUGAAACUUCUUGGAUCAGAGAGAUCAAUCCAAGCCCUCGAAGGUGUUGCAAUGGAGCUGGAGGAUUCCGUGUUCCCCUUGUUGAGAGAAGUUGAUAUAGGAACAUAUCCAUAUGAAGUGUUUCAAGAUGUGGACUGGGCUCUUCUGAUUGGUGCAAAGCCUUGAGGACUUGGAAUGGAACGUGCUUUGUUCUGACCAAAUAUAACGUAUACAUAUUUCUCCUUGAUGAGAGUCUAUUAUAGUCUCGUUUGAGUUACUUCUAUUGUCCUCUCUCUGUAUAUGCUUUUUUUUAAGAAUCCUUAAUUGGGUUCUACCAUUGGAGCACUCAAAAUCAUUGUUUCUUAACAAAAGUUCUUAACUUUUUAUUACUUAUAUAUUCACUAAGAACCCAAUUAGAGGUUUCCCCA